AGUCUUAUUAACCUUGCAUUAAACUCUUCCCGGUAACUUUGAACGUGUCCAGUUCUCUGGAUUUACAGAGUGGUUUCUCCCUCUGUUUGACGCCUCCCUGUUAACUUUCGAGAGCCGUUUCGACGGCUCUUUUUCU
rnacentral:sRNA from 1 species